rnacentral:lncRNA from 1 species
UCCAACUCAUCAAUUCCUUUUUUAAGUAAAUCCAUUUCCCAUAUUUUAGACUGUGAUGAACUAUACCAUAUCUUUCUCUGUCUUUCUAACAUGUCCGAGCUUCUGGAGUUCUCCAAGACUUCAUAGAAAACCUGUCUUGAGACAGGAGGUUUUAAACAUGACAAAAGAGCUUUCUCUGAAGCAAGAGAUACAGGUUGUCUACGAAGGAAAGGGCGUAUAACAGGAGCAAGGAAAACAUAUGAAUCCACUGCACCCAGGCUC